rnacentral:rRNA from 1 species
GACGAACGCUGGCGGCGUGCCUAAUACAUGCAAGUAGGACGAGUUGCGAACGGGUGAGUAAUGUAUGGGGAUCUGCCUGAUGGCGGGGGAUAACUACUGGAAACGGUAGCUAAUACCGCAUACCAUCAGAUGAACCCAUAUGGGAUUAGCUAGUAGGUAAGGUAACGGCUUACCUAGGCGACGAUCCCUAGCUGGUCUGAGAGGAUGAUCAGCCACACGGGGACUGAGACACGGCCCAGACUCCUACGGGAGGCAGCAGUGGGGAAUAUUGCACAAUGGGCGCAAGCCUGAUGCAGCCAUGCCGCGUGUAUGAAGAAGGCCUUCGGGUUGUAAAGUACUUUCAGUCGGGAGGCGUUACCGACAGAAGAAGCACCGGCUAACUCCGUGCCAGCAGCCGCGGUAAUUC